rnacentral:lncRNA from 1 species
CCCGCCAGACACUCCAGCCGAGCUUCAGCCGACAGGCCUACACCCCCUGGCAUGGCCACAGUAAUGACCACGACUCUACUCCACUUCCUGGGACAGAUUCUGCGCGGCUCCAUUACUCCCUGGCAAACUGCUAUGAUGCCCACGAUCCUGCUCCACUCCCUGCGACGGAUACCGCACGAUUCUUUCAUCUUCUGGCAAGUCACGACAACGGACGCCGCUCCACUCCCCACGAUAGACUCUACGUGGCAUGUCCCGACGAUAGCCACGAUUCCACUCCACUACUCUCUGC